UUUUAUGGAGAGUUUGAUCCUGGCUCAGGAUGAACGCUGGCGGCGUGCCUAAUACAUGCAAGUCGAGCGAACGGACGAGAAGCUUGCUUCUCUGAUGUUAGCGGCGGACGGGUGAGUAACACGUGGAUAACCUACCUAUAAGACUGGGAUAACUUCGGGAAACCGGAGCUAAUACCGGAUAAUAUUUUGAACCGCAUGGUUCAAAAGUGAAAGACGGUCUUGCUGUCACUUAUAGAUGGAUCCGCGCUGCAUUAGCUAGUUGGUAAGGUAACGGCUUACCAAGGCAACGAUGCAUAGCCGACCUGAGAGGGUGAUCGGCCACACUGGAACUGAGACACGGUCCAGACUCCUACGGGAGGCAGCAGUAGGGAAUCUUCCGCAAUGGGCGAAAGCCUGACGGAGCAACGCCGCGUGAGUGAUGAAGGUCUUCGGAUCGUAAAACUCUGUUAUUAGGGAAGAACAUAUGUGUAAGUAACUGUGCACAUCUUGACGGUACCUAAUCAGAAAGCCAUGGCUAACUACGUGCCAGCAGCCGCGGUAAUACGUAGGUGGCAAGCGUUAUCCGGAAUUAUUGGGCGUAAAGCGCGCGUAGGCGGUUUUUUAAGUCUGAUGUGAAAGCCCACGGCUCAACCGUGGAGGGUCAUUGGAAACUGGAAAACUUGAGUGCAGAAGAGGAAAGUGGAAUUCCAUGUGUAGCGGUGAAAUGCGCAGAGAUAUGGAGGAACACCAGUGGCGAAGGCGACUUUCUGGUCUGUAACUGACGCUGAUGUGCGAAAGCGUGGGGAUCAAACAGGAUUAGAUACCCUGGUAGUCCACGCCGUAAACGAUGAGUGCUAAGUGUUAGGGGGUUUCCGCCCCUUAGUGCUGCAGCUAACGCAUUAAGCACUCCGCCUGGGGAGUACGACCGCAAGGUUGAAACUCAAAGGAAUUGACGGGGACCCGCACAAGCGGUGG
rnacentral:rRNA from 1 species